GGGUGUAAAGGGUGCGCAGGCGGACUUGUGCGUCAGAGGUUAAAUACCACCGCUCAACGGUGGAAAUGCCUUUGAUACGGCAAGUCUUGAGUACGAGAGAGGAUGGUAGAAUUCCUGGUGUAGCGGUGAAAUGCGUAGAUAUCAGGAGGAAUACCGGUGGCGAAGGCGGCCAUCUGGCUCGUUACUGACGCUCAGGCACGAAAGCGUGGGGAGCAAACAGGAUUAGAUACCCUGGUAGUCCACGCCCUAAACGAUGUAUGCUUGAUGUUGGGGAACUAGUUUCUUCAGUGUCGAAGGUAACCCGUUAAGCAUACCACCUGGGGAGUACGAUCGCAAGGUUGAAACUCAAAGGAAUUGACGGGGGCCCGCACAAGCGGUGGAUCAUGUGGUUUUAAUUUCGAUGCAACGCGAAGAACCUUACCUGGGCUUGAACUUGUGAGUAGUACAGAGAUGAAAGUCGACGGAACCGUAAAGCCGGUUGCUUAUAGAGGUGCUGCAUGGCUGUCGUCAGGCUCGUGCCGUGAGGUGUUGGGGUUAAGUCCCGCAACGAGCGCAACCCCUAUCCUUAGUUGCCAGCAGGUUAAGCUGGGCACUCUAAGGAGACUGCCUACGCAAGUAGAGAGGAAGGUGGGGAUGACGUCAAGUCAUCAUGGCCCUUAUGUCCAGGGCUACACACGUGAUACAAUGGCCGGUCCAGUGGGCAAUACCGCGAGGUAGAGGAAAUCCCCAAAGCCGGUCUCAGUUCGGAUUGUAGUCUGCAACUCGACUACAUGAAGUUGGAAUCGCUAGUAAUC
rnacentral:rRNA from 1 species